rnacentral:rRNA from 1 species
UACGUAGGGUGCAAGCGUUGUCCGGAAUUAUUGGGCGUAAAGAGCUCGUAGGCGGCUUGUCGCGUCGUCCGUGAAAACCUGCGGCUCAACUGCAGGCUGGCGGUCGAUACGGGCAGGCUGGAGUUCGGUAGGGGAGACUGGAAUUCCUGGUGUAGCGGUGAAAUGCGCAGAUAUCAGGAGGAACACCGGUGGCGAAGGCGGGUCUCUGGGCCGAUACUGACGCUUAGGAGCGAAAGCGUGGGGAGCGAACAGG